rnacentral:rRNA from 1 species
UCCCCUACGGGGGGCAGCAGUGGGGGAUAUCGCACAAUGGGGGGAACCCUGAUGCAGCGACGCCGCGUGAAGGAAGAAGUAUCUCGGUAUGUAAACUUCUAUCAGCAGGGAAGAAAAUGACGGUACCUGACUAAGAAGCCCCGGCUAACUACGUGCCAGCAGCCGCGGUAAUACGUAGGGGGCAAGCGUUAUCCGGAUUUACUGGGUGUAAAGGGAGCGUAGACGGCGAUGCAAGUCUGAAGUGAAAGGCGGGGGCCCAACCCCCGGCCUGCUUUGGAAACUGUAUAGCUGGAGUGCAGGAGCGG